UUAUUCUAAGGCGCUUGAGAGAACUCAGGAGAGUGAACUCGGCAAAUUGACACCGUAACUUCGGAAGAAGGUGUGCCUUUAGUAGGUGAAGUCGUACAGACGGAGCCCAAUGAGGCCGCAGAGAAUCGGUGGCUGCGACUGUUUAUUAAAAACACAGCACUCUGCAAAGACGAAAGUCGACGUAUAGGGUGUGACGCCUGCCCGGUGCUGGAAGAUUAAAUGAUGGGGUGCAAGCUCUUGAUUGAAGUCCCAGUAAACGGCGGCCGUAACAAUAACGGUCCUAAGGUAGCGAAAUUCCUUGUCGGGUAAGUUCCGACCUGCACGAAUGGCGUAACGAUGGCCACACUGUCUCCUCCAGAGACUCAGCGAAGUUGAAAUGUUUGUGAUGAUGCAAUCUCCCCGCGGAAAGACGGAAAGACCCCAUGAACCUUUACUGCAGCUUUACAUUGGACUUUGAAUAGAUCUGUGUAGGAUAGGUGGGAGGCUUUGAAGCCGGGACGCUAGUCUUGGUGGAGCCAACGUUGAAAUACCACCCUGGUGUGUUUGAGGUUCUAACCUUGACCCAUUAUCUGGGUUGGGGACAGUGUAUGGUAGGCAGUUUGACUGGGGCGGUCUCCUCCCAAAGUGUAACGGAGGAGUUCGAAGGUACGCUAGGCACGGUCGGAAAUCGUGCUGAUAGUGCAUAGGCAUAAGCGUGCUUGACUGCGAGACUGACAAGUCGAGCAGGUACGAAAGUAGGACUAAGUGAUCCGGUGGUUCUGUAUGGAAGGGCCAUCGCUCAACGGAUAAAAGGUACUCUGGGGAUAACAGGCUGAUACCGCCCAAGAGUUCAUAUCGACGGCGGUGUUAGGCACCUCGAUGUCGGCUCAUCUCAUCCUGGGGCUGUAGCCGGUCCCAAGGGUAUGGCUGUUCGCCAUUUAAAGAGGUACGUGAGCUGGGUUUAAAACGUCGUGAGACAGUUUGGUCCCUAUCUUCCGUGGGCGCUGCAAGAUUGAGAGAGCCUGCUCCUAGUACGAGAGGACCGGAGUGGACGCACCUCUGGUGUAUCGGUUGUCACGCCAGUGGCAUUGCCGAGUAGCUAAGUGCGGAAGAGAUAACCGCUGAAAGCAUCUAAGCGGGAAACUCGUCUCGAGAUGAGUCUUGCCGGGGCCUCGAGCCCCCUGAAGAGUCGUUCGAGACCAGGACGUUGAUAGGCCGGAUGUGGAAGCUGGGUAACCAGUUGAGCUAACCGGUACUAAUUGCUCGUGCGGCUUGACCUG
rnacentral:rRNA from 1 species